UGUUGAUAUACCAAUCCUGUGUCUAUUUCCCUUUAGCUUUAAAGGAAUCACAAAAAAUGGAGACAGGUCUCCAGGUCUGUCUUCUGUUCUGAUCUCAAUAAUAGACAACGCUAAACUGAGGGAACUCGUUUCAAAAUGCAUCAGGGCACUGGAAAUGGCAUAUUGCCCUUACAGACGGUUCCCGGUCGAUGCCGCAAUAUCGACAGCAGAGAGUGCUAUAAUCAAAGGUUGCAAUGUGGGAAAUGCCUCUUUUGGGCGCACAGUGUGCGCUGAGUGAACAGAACAGCAACACAGAGAGCCAUAGCUCCAGUUCUCUGCUGCCAAUGACUGGAACGAUCUGCAAACAUCUCUGAAGCUGGAGACUCAUAUCUCCCUCACUAACUUUAAGCACCAGCUGUCAGAGCAGCUCACAGAUCACUGCACCUGUACAUAGCCCAUCUGUAAAUAGC